CCUACGGGAGGCAGCAGUAAGGAAUAUUGGUCAAUGGUGGCAACACUGAACCAGCCAUGCCGCGUGCAGGAUGAAGGUUCUAUGAAUUGUAAACUGCUUUUAUACGGGAAAAAACUUUCGAACGUGUUCGGAACUGAUGGUACCGUAAGAAUAAGGAUCGGCUAACUUCGUGCCAGCAGCCGCGGUAAGACGAAGGAUCCAAGCGUUAUCCGGAUUUAUUGGGUUUAAAGGGUGCGUAGGUGGACUUGUAAGUCAGUGGUGAAAGCCCGAUGCUUAACAUCGGAACUGCCAUUGAUACUGCAAGUCUUGAAUAUGUUUGAAGUGGGCGGAAUGUGUCGUGUAGCGGUGAAAUGCUUAGAUAUGACACAGAACACCGAUUGCGAAGGCAGCUCACUAAACCAUUAUUGACACUGAGGCACGAAAGCGUGGGGAGCAAACCAGGAUUAGAUACCCUGGUAGUCCACGCCCUAAACGUUGAAUACUCGAUAUGUGCGAUACACUGUACGUGUCCAAGNGAAAUCGUUAAGUAUUCCACCUGGGGAUACGCUCGCAAGAGUGAAACUUAAGGAAUUGACGGCUGAGACCGNGCGAGCGACGACGAGGGAGGAGG
rnacentral:rRNA from 1 species